rnacentral:rRNA from 1 species
UACGAAGGGGGCGAGCGUUGUUCGGAAUUACUGGGCGUAAAGGGCGCGUAGGCGGCCGUGGAAGUCAGGCGUGAAAGCCCCGGGCUCAACCUGGGAAUUGCGCUUGAUACUCCGGGGCUUGAGUUCGGGAGAGGAGAGUGGAAUUCCCAGUGUAGAGGUGAAAUUCGUAGAUAUUGGGAAGAACACCGGUGGCGAAGGCGGCGCUCUGGACCGAGACUGACGCUGAGGCGCGAAAGCGUGGGGAGCGAACAGG